CCAGGUUGAUUCUGCCUGACGUAGACGCUAUUCCCUAAGAUUAACCCAUGCAUGUUUUUGACAUUUGAAAAAUGGACUGCUCAGUAAUACUCACUUUAUUUUAUGUAAAUUUUUGAUUAAUUAACUACGUUAAAGUGUAGAUAAGAUGUUUACAGUAAGAGUGAGACCUAUCAGCUAGUUGUUAAGGUAAUGGCUUAACAAGGCUGUUACGGGUAACGGUAUUACUUUGUAAUAUUCCGGAGAAGGAGCCUGAGAGACGGCUACUAAGUCUAAGGAUUGCAGCAGGGGCGAAACUUGACCUAUGGAUUUUAUCUGAGGCAGUUAUGGGAAGUAAUAUUAUAUUGUUUCAUAUUUUAAAAGUAUAUGAGGUGAUUAAUUGGAGGGCAAAUCAAGUGCCAGCAGCCGCGGUAAUACUUGUUCCAAGAGUGUGUAUGAUGAUUGAUGCAGUUAAAAAGUCCGUAGUUUAUUUUUUAAGAAGCAAUAUGAGGUGUACUGUAUAGUUGGGAGAAAGAUGAAAUGUGACGACCCUGACUGGACGAACA
rnacentral:rRNA from 1 species